GGUAAUGUUUUAACCACCAUAAGGAACCUGGACAACAAGAUGAAUCCAUUCCACAAGCAAGCAAGCAUUUCAGGACGGAGCGUGUGUCUGGAAGCCCUGUCCGUCAGCAGAUGUUAUUGCCUCCACCACCUGCAU